CCCGCCAAGCCUCUCGACAAUACUCAAAUGUGCGGGU
rnacentral:ncRNA from 1 species